CAGCCGCCGCGGUAAUACGUAGGGGGCGAGCGUUGUCCGGAAUUAUUGGGCGUAAAGCGCGCGCAGGCGGUCCUUUAAGUCUGAUGUGAAAGCCCACGGCUCAACCGUGGAGGGUCAUUGGAAACUGGGGGACUUGAGUGCAGGAGAGGAGAGCGGAAUUCCACGUGUAGCGGUGAAAUGCGUAGAGAUGUGGAGGAACACCAGUGGCGAAGGCGGCUCUCUGGCCUGUAACUGACGCUGAGGCGCGAAAGCGUGGGGAGCAAACAGGAUUAGAUACCCUGGUAGUCCACGCCGUAAACGAUGAGUGCUAAGUGUUAGAGGGGUCACACCCUUUAGUGCUGCAGCUAACGCGAUAAGCACUCCGCCUGGGGAGUACGGGCGCAAGGCUGAAACUUAAAGGAAUUGGCGGG
rnacentral:rRNA from 1 species